UAUUUAUCACCUGCUGUCUAUGACAUGUGUGCUUAUGACAAAUAUAUUAAUACCACACAAAGAUAAUUGUUCUCCUCCGGUUGCCGCAUCCGUCACCGCCCCACGCCCCCGCCUCCUUCACCACCUCCGUCCCCAUCGGAAGUCGCCGCCUUCGUCGCUCGGCAGUCCUUCGCCGCCUCCGUUGCUCGGCAGCCGCCUCCGCCUCAGAUCCGCAUCCGCCUCCAUCGCCGCCUCCCCCGCUCGGCAGCCGCCUCGCCCGUCGACUACGCCGUCGCCGCCUCCAACGCCGCCUCGGCCGUUGACUACGCCGUCGCCUCCGUCCCCGCCUCGGCCCGCCUCGACUCGAGCCGCCGGGCGCUCCAGAUUCGUGCAGAGUGAGAGUUGCUGUUAGGCUCCGACCAAAGAACUCUGAUGACUUAGCACAUGGCGCAGAUUUCGAUAGUUGUGUUGAGUUGCAGCCUGAGGUGGAGAUAUAUUUGGAACAAAGUAAGAACAACCUAGAUCAAGGAGGGUAAAACGCAAGGGAUUUACAUUUCUGGAGCAACAGAGGUCGAUGUUUUCAUAAGAAAAAUGAAUUCCAUCCCAGCCUUCACAUCUAACCUGACAAUGGAAUCCUUCAACAAGAGAAGUAUCUGUUGAAGACAAAAAUUCAGUGGAAAUUCAUAUUGCUGGAUUUUGUGGUUUAUCACAGCUUCUGAAGGUAACUGGAGGUCUCCAAAUUGAUAUGCUGUGGCAGCACAGGACCGUGAUCAAGCAGGCUCCAAGAAUUAUUUAUCAAGGAUUAUGGCGUUUUAGUACUAAAUUUAGAGCUUAGGUUUCAUGACCGAUGAAUUAUUGUCUGCUUUCAAGGAUAGCUAUGAGCUAAGGAGACAUUCAUUGAUACAUAUGCUGGCAUACUAAGGGAAUGAGGGAAAUCAUGAGGGAUCCACAUGUUGCUGCCGAUGGAUUCACAUAUGAAGGUGAGGCUAUAAGAGACUGGCUUCAAAGGGGGCAUAACAUAUCCCCCAUGACCUACCUCACUCACACACCACGAGCUGAUUCCUAGCAACGGCCAUCGUUUUGCCAUUCAAGAAUGGCAAAUGAAACAUAAAUUAUUACCUUUAAUUUAGUUUGUUUUUAUCGUGUAUCUACAGCUAAGAAAACAGUUUAAAUUGUGUAUAGUCUAGGGAAUAGACUACAACUACUAGUCAAGCUCAUAUAGGUGUGUUCUUUCAAUAUUUCUCUACAGGAUAGUAUCUUCGCUAAUUAAAGCCAAUAGAACACAUUAAGGCAUUGCCAACCUGUCUUGUAGCAAGAGAGUACAUGCAUCUUCACUUAG